UUCUACUUAGGGAACGUUCCUUGGGAGUUACACAAAUGAUGGCAUUGCUAACCUGAAUCAUUUUUUUAAUGCAAGGCAAGCACCCCAAGUCAGGGCAUUUGGAAAGCAGAAUCUCAGGUUCUUGUUUGCUCCUGAGGAUGGAUGCAGGCAGGCAGCAUGCCUGCUUUCAGGUUCUCUGAUAAAAGCUAGGAUUUCAAGUUGGGAGGUGGGGGGGACUUUUUUUUUUUUUUUUAAAUAAUGACCCAUUUCUAUUAGCCCAGGCUGUAUGAAAAUUACUAAAUAUAGUGAGACUUGCAGUAAAACCCACUCGAGCUGGCAACCCAGCAGCUGGAGGAACGCUCAGUGGGGCUUCUGCCAAGGAACAUGUCCUAGAUUAUUUUGUAGGAGCAUGGGGGCUUAGAAGCAUAAAUCUCCAGGUUUUAGUGGGAGGUCACAGCUAUCUUCUCUGCAUCUGAUAUCCACUCUCCGCGCUCCAUCAUCAAGUUCAAGCUGCCUGGCACUGAAGCCAGCUAUCACUUUCCUACAGUCCACAGCACCGCCUGCACAGCCCGGAGACCACAUACAGGCUACCUGAGUGUGGGUUGACAGAAGGGAAGUAAAAAUAACCAUAUUAGCUCUUAGCCUCACAUGCAGACUUUACCACUGCCAAUGGAAAUGAUCAUCACAGCAUCAAAGGACAUGGAAAACCUGGCUCCGCAGUGACUGACUGCACCUCUCAGGUCAGCCUCCACCUAUCCAACUUGCAGCACCUUUUCUCACUCUCCAAUACACACAGAUUCUACACUCCAGACAGAAUUUCCUCCCACAUUUCUGGUCAGGAAGGAAAACACCACCUUUUUGUCUUUUACAGACUGGUUAUGAGCUGACCACAGUCUCGGUAUUAUAACUAUGGGUUUUUAGAGAAAUGCACUACAUUUCACUGUGCAUGAUGUUUGGAACAAUUUUGGUGUGAAUCACUUCCAGGCUCCUCAAACAAAACUACGAAACAGCAGAAGUUGUAGUGAAAAUAAGCAAUCCUUAUAACAUAUCUUUCAUCAGCUUCAUCAGCCUUUCAGGGACCCCCUCACAUAUCCCUUUACCAUGUAUGCUCAGCCUUACCUACUUCUGAGCCCUAUUUUUGCCAUUUGCUCUUGUCAGACCUUUGCAGCGCCCUGGCCCUGUUCACAGCAAGAUGCAAAAUCUCAAACCUUCUUCAAGUCGCACCAAAUGUCAGCAGUGCCUGGCUCUACCACAGAACAUGGGUGCAGAAACCACCACUGUGGCCAUAGUCCCUAGCACGUCCUCACACACAGCUAACAGAGAAGCUGCUAAGCUAUCUUCACACCACUUGCAGAAGUACCAGCUGGCUGGUUGGGGCAGUUUCCAGUCACACUUUGGCUGCCACAGCAUUGCCUCUUCACCCAAGCACCAGGCAAAAAGCAAACAACCAAUCACACACACAAAAACUCCUAUAUACAUUAGUAUAAAACUGCUGCAACUAUCCAGAGAUACUCUUAGUCCUCUUCAAAGUGAAAUUCAUGGAUAACCAUAGAGGCUUCUUGCUUUGUACAAAGACCAUCCUAGCUGGCUACACUCUUAUACCUGAGUAGUUCCUCAACUCAGGCAAAACUUCAUGGAUCAGGCCAUAAAGCAGCCCAUGUUUUUCCUUGGGCUACAUUAACGCAUCUCUGCUCCCCCUCAUAAACUGCAAGAUGCUCCCAGAGCACCUGAUCAGCACCAGGGUCCUGCGAAGCCAAAUGCUGUACAUUUGCAGGAGGGUGCACGCUGAAAAGGCAGGCUGGCUGGAGAUAAAAGCCAGGUGUAGAAACAAGGCAAUCAGAUUGAUGGCAACCACUUGUUUGCUCAUCUUCCAUUCAUUCAUAUGCACCUUAUUAAGGCAUUUAUUUUUAUUGCUGAGGAGAGGUCAACAAGAAGCAAGUGAGCACACAGAAGAAAGGGAGGAAGAAGAGGGGAGAGGCUCGGGCAGGCAGGAAGGAAGCCAGCCAGCCCAGCUGCAGAGCAGCACAGAGGGCAGGAAGGCAGGGGCACCUCAGCACUGAGGGGUGAGAACUGGAAGCAAGAACUUCCUCCCAUCACAACUAUCAAACCCUCUGGGGAAGCAGCAGGUGAGCCCUGCUCCUGCUGAGGGCAGGCUUUGGCCCAGAACACCCUACUCUCUUUCUACCAAGCAACUAAUGGGAAAGAAGCCAGCAUGCUCCCACAACAGAUAGGAGACCCAGGGCACCAUCUGCCACUUUGGAAGGUCAUCAGCAACACUGACACCAACCAUUUGCAGAAUCAAGAAAAAAGUUGGUAAGGACGGAGAGAAAUUUCCUCGUGUUUUUGCCCCUUGCCUAGCAUAAUAGAGCCCCAAACCACAUCUGCAGCUUUUAAGUGCUAAGUGCACAGAACAAGUAAUAAAGUGAAGCCAGUUCACUGCCCUAAAUCAGUCAGGAAAAGGUUUUCUCUGCCAGCACAAAGAGAAUGUUCUGGGAAAGAAACCUUUGUUUUAACAUAGAUGGACUCCUUAGCAACACCCAAUCCUAUCAAACCUAUUUUGCUGAUGGUUUUCAGUCCUGCUUCAGUUCUGCUCAGAGACAAAAUGAAUAAACUAGGAUUUAGUCUGAAUUAAGAGCUCAUGCUCAAUAUUUUUACCAUUUUGAUAAUUAUAUUUGCAUCUAUAUUUCAAGUCAAUAAUGUUGAUGGCGAUGUUUUAUAGUUAAAAAUACUAGAGCAGGUAUGGGUGUGCUAUCCAACAUGAUGGCAAGCAGAGCAAAAUUUUCUCACUUUUUCUUAAUUAUUGGAGAAAAACACAUUGAAGUUCAUGCUAAAUGUGAGUAUAAAAAUGCAAAGAUUUACUGGCAGCAAGCAUAAAUGACAUCAAGCAGUGAUGAAACUCUUGCUCUGGUCAUUAUCUGUCUACAAUCUACUUCAAAUUUCUCAGAUUUUUUCAGUAAUCUGCACAAAAACAUUCUCCUGUGUCUGAUCUGCUGUGGUUCAGGAAAUGAGGCAAAAAGAGUAAAAUUUGUGUGAUUCUGUAGCUGGACAUGACGUAUUUCAGCAAAGCACUGGUAAUCCACACCCACUAGUAGGAAAUCUGUUAUUACUAGUAGAUCUACCAACUACUACAACUACUUUGGUUAACUGAUUAAAAAAACUAUACCAAUUCAAUAGAACAGAAUAUAGGUACAGUAUAUUUCCUGAAUUUGUAUUAACUUGUACUUCAUUUUAAUUAUCUUUGCCUUGUAUAAUUUCACAGUAUUUCCAGUAACUACAGCGAAUUGUAUGAAACAAAAAUCCAUAAAACCUCAAAUAUGGAACCUGGUAUCACCUCAGCUAGACCGUGUGGGAUUGUGAGAGACAUCAGGUUAUGAGACUGUGUUCCCCAGGAAGGCAUGGUGCAGCCCUGUACGUUCACAUAACCCUAUCCCUACGCUGCUACAAAGCCACAGUAUAAUCAUGUAGCAUCUUACAGUUCUGAAGUGAAUUUCACAUAGAGGACUAUAAAGAUUUAAAGACCAAUUAAGAACAAGAACUGUUUAGUAGACUAGUCUACUUACAAGCAACAUUUAUUCACACACAGCUUGUACCUCGCAUUCUGCUUUCCCACUUUGAGAGCCCACUUGUGAGCAGUAACAGCAGUCCCACAAGUUGUUUUUUUUUUUGUCUGCUACAUACAAAAAUGAGCACCAUUGGACUUUUCUUAAACAAGCAGAUAGACAGUAUGUUGUAUUCCAGAAGAAAAAAAAAGUAAUAAUAAUACUUAAAGUUAGUUGGGAAGAAUGGAGUAACUGGAGCUUCAGACCUAAUGUCCGUGGGCAUAACUUUACUGACUGCUUUUGCACAUAAAUACUACCACCACAGGUUCAUAUUACAAAUCAGAUAGCUGGAUACAAUCACAGUUUAGUCUAAAGAUGCUAUAACUUUUACAGAAUAUCUUCUUUUUUAACCACUUUUUGAGAUUGCAAAAUCUCUUCAAACUGCUCAGAAAGCAGUGAAAAUUAACAGUGACCUAAUUUAUGAUGAAAUAGACUUAUACUAACUACUGAUAAUUUUUUUAAGCUUUAAUUGUUAGAAUUUGUUACAGCUCUUUAUGAAUCCUGUCCAACGUGCUUUCACAAUUCUCAAUGGAUAGUAUUUAUCUGACUUAUUUACUAAUUACUUCCAAAUUACAAGUGUCCCUCAGGUCUGAAUCAUUUCUGAUGAAAGAACAAGCAGCCUUGAAUGGUUUUAUGCCAUGAGGGAAGAGAAAUUAAAGGAAAAGAAUUUCUACGGAUCUGAUCAAGCAAAUGAAAAUCUUGAUCUCUUUGAAGUGUUUUCUAACUUUAUCACCACAUGCAGGUAACGAUUUGCGUCCGUUAAACCUUCCAUGCCAUCAUUAUGCCAAGGCCUCUGUUAAUUUUUUUUUUCCAUAAACAGAGAUAACCAUUAAAGCUAGGGCAAAAGCAAUAUUCCAGACUGCAGACACUGUAAAUGUCACCGUUUCCAUGCAGAAACUGAGUAUGGACAAGCACAUAAAAAAUAAUCACAUAUUUUCAAGCCAUUUAAACAGAACAUGCCCAAGGGCACGCUAUGGAGGAGCCAGCAUUUCUGUCAGUAGGUACCAUGCGCAGUUUCCUCUCCAGCAGUCAUAGAACCCAAGCACAUGUGAAUUCUAAUCCAUCACUUCUCCGCCAAGCACACUGUUGUAAGAAACAGGCACACUAGCGUCUUUAGUUUAAAAUCAAUUUCACUUGGCUUGGACAUCAGAGAAUAAGGGAAAAAUAUACUUUUAGUACAUGACAUUUGCUUUCUAAAAUCACUGUCUUUCUUGGAAAAUGUAACAUUGUUAACAUAAUAUACACUUUAUGUACUCUAUAGAACUCUCUCUAUAGCUACUGUUUCUUCAGCAUGUCAGCCACAACAGCUGACUAGUGACUCCAGAUUACAGUUGUGUGUUUUUUUCCGGCAUUACCGUGUCACUAUAACCACCUCUUGAUUUCAGAAACCUCAGGAGGACCAGCAUUCCUGUUCUGAACCAUCUCCAAGACCUACAAACCUGUCACCCUUGCUAUAAGUCUUGACCCAAUCUGCCUUUAUCUUGAUGACACUUUUAUUCAGCAUGCCUGUUUCCAAGUCACUUGACAUUUUCCAGAGUUCUUCUAACGCAUGGAACUUGAAAUUUUCUUCUUUCGUAACCUCACUUCAGAUGGAUGGAAACUAUUCACCUCAUUCUGGUUAGAAAGGUAUUCCAUUUCAAAGAACAAAAAACGUAACUGUUUUCUUUAGCAAAUCUGAAUGAAAAAUUCAAUUUGAGUUUAUAUCCCAAAACCACAGUGGAGCUGAUGUGGUAUCACAUAUUACUUUCUGAGAAACUAAUGGUUUGAGGUCACAAGCAAUCCUCCUGUUGCUGUGCUGUUACUGACCACACUUCUCCUUUACAGCCGAUUCCAAACAACAUGGGGGAGGGAUCACAUACGAAGGGGUUCCUAAGGACCAAGGUUGACUAAUCCAGUAGCAUGGCAAGGAAGACUUCAUAAUCUAUGACAUAUACUUAGUGGCUACAUUCUGCACUUACACUAUAGCUUUGAGUUAUGAAACCCCAGUACAGUCCAUCUAACAGCUAUGAUUUUAUGAUAGUCUCUGCGUAGCUGUACCAUUGUCCAGCUGUUAAGAUUACUGCCUUAUUUACUUAAAAUGUUCAAAGUCAGUAAAUAAGGAAAUAAAAUCAAGGGAUGAAUGGGAGUUUUAUUUCAAAUGUCAUGCCAUUUAAUUAUUGUUUAGAAAAUAAAUAUGCAAGUUCAGAAACAGAGUUAAAGUGGCACUACCAAACAGUACUGUAGAGAGGGGACUUGGCUUUACUGAGUUUCUCGAGCUGGAUCAGAUGUCUAUCUUAGCCAUGCUGAAUUACUCAGUAGUCAAGGCUAUUAUUAUUGGCUGAUUCCCUGAUUAGCCAUGGUACUGGUAUGCCUGAGACCUUCCAAGCACGGUUGGUGCUUACUGCAGCAGUAGACAAUGCUGUAAUAUUGCAGUGUUACAGGCUAUGCAGUUUUCUGUCCCUUCUAUCAUCUUGUGCAGUAAGUUUAUGAAACUCCUUGGAAACUUUCAUCCGCAGGCACUGGAUGAAACAGCACCAGUAGUAACUCAAAGCUUUGCAGUUCAGCAGUCUGAAGAGUGCAGACACGCUAUUGCUAGAAAUGCCAAGAAGAUAAAAAUUCAUUAGGCUGAUCUCUUCCACUCUGGCCCUGCUUACUGAAGAAAUCAUUCAGGAAGUCUCUAUGCAGAGCGCUACAGAGACGUGCAGUGAUGCUUGAGCUAGCUCAGUAAUCAUAAGAUACAUACUCAUACCUAUACAUCUUGCUUUCCAUUUCCUUUUUGAUAGCUAUGGCUUUGGCCUUUUUGAUAGCUAUGGAUUCACCACAUGAAAAAUCCUCAGGGCAUUUUCAAUUGCAAGUAGUUGAUAUUAAAAACAAACAAACAAAUAAAUAAAUAAGAGUCUCUGUGUCACACAUGACAAAAGCAAAAUUCCAUGAGUACAGUGUGCAUGCAGUAGCUAUGCCCUUAUUUAUCAUGACGACCUUGCAAGAGCAAUGCAUAUCCCAGUGACUGCAAGGCUUAAUUAUUUUAAUUCCGUGGUCCAGGAGUUUUCAGCAGGGUUUCUCUGCUGCUUGCAGCUUUUGCAGAAUGUAGCAGCAUAUCUGAUCACUGGUUUAAGUAGCUGUGAUCUCAUUACACCCAUCCUGCAUUCUUCUCAUUGGCUGUCUAUAUAGUGGCAGAUUGAUUUUUAGCUGGCUCUGUAGGCCUUUUUAGUGCUCCUAAUAAUAAAACGCCUGAGCAAAGAGAAAAUCUUCUGAUAGGUAUUUUACACAGGCACACCCUUUCAGGAAUUAACCCAUGAUAAUCUUGACAAACAACUCCCUCCAGUACACAUGCUAACAUCAGUACAGACGGCAAACAGCACAAAGACUGUGCCUUGCGCAUACAUGGAGCACCUCCUGGCCUCAUAAAAUGCAGACCUUAGAAGAGAGAUCCUGCCUGAAAUGGUCUUAACAAACUGAUCCACGGCACUUUGUCUCUUCACAGAGCAGCACCUCUGGACUUCCACUGAGCUUCUCCUGGUGCUUUUAAACUUUAGCCCAGGAAAGAAAAAUACAAUCAAGCAAUAACUUCAAACACUCGCAACUGCUGCUUCAGGGUGAAGGCUCAUUCCAGCUUGACAUCUGUUCCAGCCCUGCUCACUCUGACUAUAAAGUGACUCAGUCAAACUAAUUCAGUGUCUUUAAAUACAGCAUAUUUAGAGGCUUUUCCUCAUUGUCAUCUGUUUGGCUUAAUAUAACAAUAGUAAGUAUCUGCAACGGCUUGCUCUGGUCUUCACAUCAUCCAGGAACCAGCACUGAGAGUGGAAGAAAGGGAUGGUACAUAACCAGGUCUCAUUCCCACACAGGAAGAAAUUACAGCCAGGGCACCCCCAACUUAAAAAAUAAGAGGCACUUUAAGGCCCAUGAACGUUUUCUCUGUAUUUUUAAUGCCUAUCUUAAAUUCUGCAAUUUUAGCAGCUAAAUGCCUCAGGCUACAGUUGUUUGGACAUAAGGAAGAGUAGCUCAAGAACAAACAUGGAAAAAAUUGCUGCCAAUCUUAGGCUAUUGCCACCUUCAUGGCUUUCCAUGGCAGGAGCUGCUACCAAGAAAACUCUGAACUGAAGGACAAGGUGGCCAUCAAUGAGAUUUAAAAAAAAAAAAACAAAAACAAAAAAAAAAAACUAUUUUAACUUAUUUUUUAUACUCAAGAAAGUAUAACUAGGCUGACAGAGAGACUCCCUUUUGCCAAGCAGAGAUGUAAAAAGCUAUAUUAAACAGUGAGCUCUCAAACCAGACACUCCAAAAAGCUCUCUCCACUUAUAGCAAGGUGGAAGAAGGACUCAAACUGUGACUCCUUCUGGUAUGGAUACAGGGCUAAUGUUUCUGUCUCACCACAUUUGCCUGUACAUAGCCAUACACCAUUUGGCUCCAAGCUAUACUGCCCUAAAUUUAUGGUUUAAAAAAGAAAAUAAUAAAAAAAUCAAUAGUAGAAAUAUGGUUGGCCUGAACAAGAAAUAGCAGUGAACAAUUAAGAUGGAAUGAAUAUCCACUAUGCAGAAAUAGUUCUAACAGAGAGAUUAGCUUUCUAUAACAGGCUCCAGUUUUAACCUUCGUAACUUCAACAAAGUAAAACCCAGUCACAUGAAAUUUCACAGUCACGAUCUUGUGCCAAGGAAAGCUUCUCUGGAAAGUUUGAGGUAGAUCAGCCAAGGCAUCUUGGAGAUAUGAGAGUUCCAGAAAAGUGAGGUGUUCUACAUUUCUUGGACUGUAUCCUAAUUUUUUUUGGCUCGUCAUAACUUAAAAAUGGUUGGCUUAGACAUUCCAAAUUUGCUUGGCUACUACUGGUGCCUUUGGCUAGUUGCAGGCUAUUUUAUUACUAAAUGUGGGUUUGUGCAAAUUCUGAGCACUGCAGUUGUUAACACCACAUGUUGGCUUGUAUAUACUGUAGGCAAGCCAGUCUGGCCCACUUCAGCCUCCUUCAUCACCUCAUCAGCUAUGCUCAGGAGGCAGUGCCAAAGCUCAAGACCCUUCCCUCAGGUCCAAUGGGAUGUAAGAACUUGGCUAGACUUUACAGUCUCCAUGGGGGAGCUCUGUUUCUCCAGGCUGAAGAGAAAUGGUCCAAGGGUGCUUCCAAGCUUUGCCAGUACCAAAGUACCUCUUGGAAAGCUCAGCACACACCACGCACAGACGGUUUCCUCCCCAGACUUUGUAUUGUCUGUUUACCAUUCCUUCAAUCCUCACUUAGCCUUAUUGUCCCAAAGAACAUCCCCAUAACUCCCAAAUCCCCCCCUUCUCCAUGGGUUACUGAUUCAAUCUAUUUUUCAAUUCCACAACAGUUGCAAACUCCUUGCAGGGGUCUGGGUGCUUCUGCAGCUUACUCCCUCUCUUUGCUCUUCUCCCUCAGUUUCCAAGAGCCUCUUGCAGACUGGGAGCCUCGUACACAUAGACACAAUGUACCUCAUUAAACUUCUGGGCAGGAAACCCAGGGGGAAGAUCUCAGCCCUCAAGAAGCAAAUUUCCCCCAAACAAACUAACAGCUUUGAUGAACCCUGGAAAGAUUCUGAGUAAGGAAUUUGCUCCUGGUGGGAAUUGCUCUGUUCACAAUCUUGAUUUUGACAACGGAUACUAUAGCAACCUCAUGCAUCUCUUGACACAGCCUUCGGCAUGGUCAACUACUUUAAACAAUUAUCCGUAAUCUUUGACAUUUCCUUUGACAAUGACUAUCACCUGCAGAGUCACCAGGAAAAUAAGCAGUGCACAGCUGAUCAGUGGUGGAAAACAUUAGGACAUUAAAAACACUUCUGAGUGAAGUAUGUUUCUACACAGAAAGUGCCUCAGUUACAAAGAGGCCUAUUCUUUUGGAGAUGCACACAUGCAUGACUCCCAUUCAUAGGAGUUAUGCGAGUGCAUUGAAAGCAGAAUAGACUUGAAAGUGUCUACAUUUACCAAACAUCGAUCCCACACAGAAGUGCCUUUUAAGAAUUACAUUCUUUGACCUACUGCAACUUACUUUUGCUCUUCAGAAACAAAAGGCUUUGCAACCACCUACAUUUAAAGAAGCUGUGAGAUGAGCACAUGUACACACAAAACCCAUAAAAUAUAAAUGACAAAUAAAUAGGAAGAACUGAAGUUUUAUUCACACUUCUCAUCCAGUUGUGUAUUUAUCAGAACUCCUAUAUCUAUCUGUUCCAUCAUCUUUUAAAUGUGGAUAAUCAAGGUCAGCCUGGAUGAGACUUUGAUCAACUUCAUCUAAUGGAAACUGUCCCUGGCUAUGGCAGGGGCGUUGAAACUAGAUGAUCUUUGGUCCCUUCCAACUAUUCUAUGAUUCUCUGAUUCUGCCUCAAAGGUUUGCUCUUCUCAAGAAAGACCAUGCAAAGUUCAAUCAAGUUUAUACACAGCCCUGCAGUGGAUCAGCACAAGCAUAUGGAGCUCCAAAGAAAGCUGCAGGAGGAGGACUUCUCCAGUCUCCCACAGAGCUCCUGCCAGGAGCAGCCCCCCCUGCCCUUUGGAAAGAUCCCUCAAGUGCAACCUUCCAGAAAGCACAAUGCAGUAACACAGACAUCCAGCUGUAAGGUCGCAUCUUCAACGAAAUAUAACAGCAAUAAGGACCAACACGUCCCAGAGCCCAGCGCCGCUGCACUCCCUCAGCUCCCACUGAAUUUUUGGCAGUCUUUGGCAACGUGGAAGAUUUAGCCUCUCCAAAGCGACUCGCAUCGAAAAGGGCUUUGAAGGCCUGUGGACAAACAGGCUCUAUCAGAGCAUCUGUUAGGAGCAAGUUCCCAAGGUCAAGGACCCUUAUCAAGAAUACUGACAACAGCUCCCUGACAUUUAACUCUUCCAGCAUUUAUCCCUCCAGAAACAGCCAAUCUUUGUAAAAUGUAUACAACAAACAUAAUGAUUUUGGCAUGCAUUGCCCUCAGGGCCAAGUAUUGAAGCACUGUUUAUAAUCUACAUACAAUUUUCAGGCCAAAUAAAAAUAAAGCUGAAUUUCUUUUCAACAUUGUUUUUCUCCAGAACGUUACUGAUCAAGAAAAAACAGUUUUCAAUGCUUGCACCACAGAAAAGACUGGAUCUGAAAUAUAAAAUGGUCAUAAGACUUAUACCUAGUAUCAGGUUUUUUUCUCUAUAUUAUUCUCAGAUAUAAUAUGGUAGUUUUAUUCAGCUUUUCACAUGGCCUUGGUACCCUAAA